AGAAAAUAUCUAGGUCGAGGGAAACCUUUCUCCAAACAAAUCUUCUAACUGCUAGUUUAACUCGGACAUAACAACUUGGUGAGAAUCCUAGGCUAUUGCAGCUAAUCCAGGUUCAACAAGAAUACUGAACAUGUUACUUUUAGAUGUCGACCAUCCUUUCAAUGCCUUAACCACAUCUUCAUCUUCCCUGAUUAUCAGCCUGUCUUCUAUUCUGCUCCUUUUCAUCUUCUACUUUCUAAACGAUCAAGUUACUAGAGUACACUUCUUCACCCUUUUUCCCUAAAGGUUUUCAUCUCGCCAGACUGAUAUGAGCGAUGCUCAAACACUUGGUAGAGUACCUUUGUAGGCCAACGGUGCCGUGUCUUCUUCCAAAUACGUCUUUCCUCGACAUCCUAAUUGAGCUCGAUAACUAGAUAGCCAAUCUCACUCUAGAUAGAAACAUACCGCUCUAAUGGAAGUACUACGGAAUGGGGAAGGCAUACCAUUAAUUUAACUGGCAUCCCAUACUUCCAGUAUUAAGAACGGUACUUGAAUUCACAAAAGUGAAUCCUCCCUAAUACUAUGACACUACUCAGGAACUACAACUAUGUGUUGUUCCCGAAUCAAACACAAUAUGGGCGGAAAAUUCUG
rnacentral:lncRNA from 1 species